UCACGUUACUGCUGCUGUCCCAAGCAGAUUUAUUACCAAAUCACUCUUUCACACCUAACUUGCAUGCUUGUUAUUUAAACAUGUAUAUCACCAAUCAAUCAUCACAUAUCUAUGAUUUUACUUAAGUAUAAUCUCCAUUUCAUCAUUUUAAAGCACAACAUGUUAGCCGAUUUUUCCCUUUAGCAUCUAAGGCACAUGCAUGCUCAUUUGUUUGGCUCAACUUCACCUAUCUUCCAUUUUCCAUCAAAAGAACAUGAAACAACAAUCAUUUCCUUCAUUUUAAUUCAUGACUAAAUGCUUACAACACAACUAAAAAUCAAAAUAUACUUCAAGAGUUAAGGUAGAAUCAAGAAGAACUCAUGAACCUCAAAAUAGAAGCAAGGUACCAAGA
rnacentral:lncRNA from 1 species